GAUGAAGAACGCAGCGAAAUGCGAUAAGUAGUGUGAAUUGCAGAAUUCCGUGAAUCAUCGAAUCUUUGAACGCACAUUGCGCCUUCUGGUAUUCCGGAAGGCAUGCCUGUUCGAGAGUCAUUAACAACCGUUUCGAUCCCUUUCUUUCAGAAAUUACAAAGAGGAAAAGGGUUUGGUUAUGGUGGAGGAGGGAAAGGGAGCGUUUAGCCUGUAAAAAAAGAGGCUGUGUUCCGCCUCCCCCCCAAAAUUGUACAGGCGGUCGUGUGCGCCCACGCAUCGAGGUGUUGUAAAAGCUGCCACGGCACUUUUCACCUGUGCAGUGCGAGAUUGGCCAGCCGGUUUAAAAACCCCUCCAAACAAUCAAAGGUUGACCUCGGAUCAGGUAGGGAUACCCGCUGAACUUAAGCAUAUCAAUAAGCGAGGA
rnacentral:misc_RNA from 1 species